UGCCAGCCGCCGCGGUAACACGGGGGGCGCAAGCGUUAUUCGGAAUUAUUGGGCGUAAAGGGCGCGCAGGCGGAAUAAUAAGUCAGUGGUGAAAUCCUGCGGCUCAACCGUAGAACUGCCAUUGAUACUGUUAUUCUUGAAUAUAGUUGAGGUAGGCGGAAUGUGUAAUGUAGCGGUGAAAUGCUUAGAUAUUACACAGAACACCGAUUGCGAAGGCAGCUUGCUAAACUAUGAUUGACGCUGAUGCACGAAAGCGUGGGGAGCGAACAGGAUUAGAUA
rnacentral:rRNA from 1 species